GAGCAUGGAGGGACCCUGCUGAUGAGCUGGAGAUCGUGGCCUGAACCAAGAAGGAGAGUUGUAGAUGUGCUGCUGUGACCAUGUAACUUCAUCUUGUUGAUAGUAAUCGCCGGGAUCAGCCUGUCAUAGGCGUGUCGAAGAAGAGGGUCUUCUAAGUCUGGAAUAUUACCUUGGCGGCUGUGGACUUGAUGAACUCUGGUCGUGGACGUCGUGGACCUCUUCUUUAGGUUUAGAAACCUAUCUUUAUAGUGGAGGUCGUGCCUCCCUCUUUGGAUUUGGAAAUAUUCAUUAUAUCCUUAGAUAAUAGAUUAUUUCCCUUUUUCUUUAAGGGAGGUCAUAUGUAUUGGAAUACUUCAUCUUUCUCUCGGAUUUAGGGAGAUUCUCUCUUGUCCAAGCUGGUUAUCUUAUUAAAGGACGAUUUCCCUUUAUCCUAAGGCAGGAUAAAUCACUCGGCCUGGAAGCCGGAGGCUGGAGGCGGGGACCCAUACCCGAGGGAAGGGACCAAGGCCUGGGGGCAGGAACCCGGAACCUGGAGGCAGGAACCUGGAAGCCGGAAGCUGUAGUAAUCUCUUCAUGGAAUAUUUUUCCCCAACAGUGUCCCUUACCGCCAGAGUACACAAAAAAAAGGGAAGAACUCAGGAAAAAAGGUUUGCUUUGGUUGGAGAACGUGGCCCUCGUGCCAAUAAGUAUGUGCCAAACAGGAAUUUGGGUCGGUGGUUCAACUGGUCGGGGGGAUCACAAGGGACAGAAGGACCACAAGGAACUCAAUGAACUCAAGGAGCUCAAGGGUCUCAAGGAACACAAGAAAACUUUUGACAAGUUGGUGAAACCUGCGUUAUAUGAUAUAGAUUAAACUUUGCAACUUUGCAUCACGUUGGUGAAACCUGUGUUAUAUGAUUGUAAAAGUUGGUGAACCCUUCGUUAUAUUGUUGAUGAUUUAGAGUAACUGAUGAUUUAGAUUAAACUUUGCAUCGCCUUACUUAUUCAUACUUUAUCCAUUUGAUAAUGAUUUCAAUGCAGAAUUUAAAAUUCCGGAUCAUAUUAAAUGCAAAAUUUAAAAUUCCUCAUCACAUUUUGUAUUCAUUGAGAAGGAAAUACAUUACUAUAAUAUAUAUUUUUGUCAGACAUUACCUUCCGGGAUUAGAAAACUUUUAUAUGUCACAUGAUCAAGUUUAUUUCUACAUGAUCCCAUGGGAAAUGUAUGUAGCAUACAGAAUAUAGUUGGUAUAACCAUAAAAUUUAUCAUCUAAGUACAGUAAAACUAAGAAAAUUGCAAAAAAGAGAAAAGUAAAACUUUAAAGGUUUUUGUAUAAUUACAAACCAUGUGAAACUUUAAACACGGGAAUCCAUCCCGCUCAGUUUUUCUAAUUUUCCGUCUCCCCAAAAUCGAUGCGGAAUCGAAGAAGAUAUGUAUUUAAACCCAUUUUUUAGGUUGUCCCAUUUAUUCAACCACAUCUCUCUCUCUCUACAAAUUUCUCUCUCCUUCUUUUCUUCCUUUUUUUCGAACCGUAUUCUUUCUUCCUAACUCAGGAGAACUCACCCCAGAAUCAUGACUCAUCCAAACAAGGAGCACAGCCAGAUGAAGGCCUUGAAGACACACAACGACAUGCUUGGGUUUGUGGCGGAUGUCGAGAGCGGGAUUCCUACCCGCUGCCCUUGCGGGGGGAGAAUCAUCAACGAGGUGUCUCGGGAUCCAAAGUAUCGAACCGAUUUUGAUACUUUACCAGGGACAAAAUACUUCACUUGCAUAAAUUUUGAGGUAAUUAAUGUAUUCUUUUGGGUUUUAUGUGCAGAUUUUGAUACUUUCUGGUUUUAUGUGUAGAAUGAUGGCUUCCAUUUCCGUCAACUAUGGGUCUUCGGUGUCCAGGAAGAGGUUGCAAUGUUAAAGAAGCGUGUGGAUGAGAUGGCUGCAGAGAUUUCUGAGCUUAAGGAUAAGCUUACUCUAGUUUCACUAAGUUAGACCAAUACGAAAGUGAAAGUUUGUAAAAUUUUCCACUGCUUUCUUGAAGUUAUGCGAAGUUGAAAGUACUCUAUUACAAAUUUUCACCCACUUUACGCAUUCACGAAUUACUCUAGUUUCAUUAAGUUAGACCAAUACGAUAGUGAAAGUUUGUAAAAGUUUCCACUGCCUUCUCGAAGUUAUGCGAAGUCGAAAGUACUCUAUUACAAAGUUUCACCCACUUUACGCAUUCACGAAUUACUCUAGUUUCAUUAAGUUAGACCAAUACGAAAGUGAAAGUUUGUAAAAGUUUCCACUACUUUCACGAAGUUAUGCUAAGUUGAAAGUACUCUAUUACAAAGUUUCACCCACUUUACGCAUUCACGAAUUACUCUAGUUUCAUUAUGUUAGACCAAUACGAGAGUGAAAUUUUGACAAAGUUUCACCUGCUUUAUCGAAGUUAUACGAAGUUGAAAGCACUCUAUUACAAAGUUUCACUCACUUUACGCAUUCCCGAAUUACUCUAGUUUCAAUAUGUUAGACCAAUACGAAAUUGAAGUUCUACGAAGUUGAAAGUACUUUACGCAUUCACGAAUUACUCUAGUUUCACGAAGUAAAACGAAGUUGAAAGUAAAACAUGGAAUAACAUAAGUCUUCAGCAAACCACAGUCAUACAUAAUUGUCAAUUUAUUAAAACAACCACAUAAGGAUUUCACACCUUCUUCUUACUUGCUUCCCUUAUUGGCCUUCUUACCUGCCUUCUUCUGCCCACCUGACUUCUUUCCUGCCUUCUUCUGGCCAACUAACUUCUGUCCACCUGACAUCUGGCCACCUGACUUCUUCUGGCCACCUGACAUCUUUCCAGAAGUCCCUUCUCAGCCUUGUUGCUAUCAAGAUACUCUCAAUAUCUUGUGCAAAUAAUACAAACUUAUUUUCUGCUUAAUUCGAAUACACAUACAACAGAAUAUACCAUUAAUUACCUUAAUUUCACCAAGUUUCCCGUUCAUUGCAUUCAGACUGUAUGCCUUCGUUCCACCUAUGUGUUUGUAAUGCAUCUUGUACAUCCGCGGGCAAUCAGCGUUUGCAGUUUUCACAGUUUCUAGGAAAUGGUUCCUCAAGCUUGGAAUUGCCUCAAAAGCCAACAACUACACACAACAAACAACAACAUUAACAAAUUAAUGUAUUUACUAUCCUAAGUACAUGAAGAGCUUGAGAAUACCUCCAAAGGAACAGGAAAGCUUGUAAAUACCCAACUCGUCGGCACAACCCCCUCGCACUUCUCCAAGAAGCUAGAUACAUCCUUCAAGUUUUGUUCAAAUGCAUACCGUCCCCAAGGGAACGUUAAGCAAGCAUCGAGGUCAUCAAAAACAGUCAGGAAGAAACUGUCCACAGGUGAUGCUCCCUCUCCACUCUUUCGGCCUCCGACGAGGAUGCUGGCUAAGAAGUACAGAACUGCCAUCUUCUGACGAUUUUGAGUUGGCUUUCCUUUCAUUGCCAACAUCUGCUUCUCCACGUCAGCAUAUGUAACCUUUUUCCCUUCAAAGUACUUGUUCAUGAUGGAUGUACCACCCAACCUCUCAUGGUUCGGGGGAUACUCAUGGCAGUAUAGUCUAGAUAUGAGUCUGAAUUCUCUGAGAGGGUAUCGGAUUGGGACACCAUUAACAAUAAACCAUAACUCAUUCUUCUUCGCUAUCGAAGCUGAACGCAAAACGGCAAUUCACAUUCCCAUCCACUCCUGCUUUCGUUUUUUAUAUGGAAGAAAUGUUGGAACUAUGGGUGCUCUAUGAACCAGUCCACCUCCUUAUGUUUCAGGAUCAAUUGUAUUUUUGUCAGCGCCUUGUCGAUGUAACAUUUUCCUGAAAGCCUUAAACCCUUUUGAUACUCGCUUGGAGGAAAGUGCAACUUCAGCGGUUGCAUGCCUUCGUCAACUUCAAGCUGCAGUGAAGUGAAAACCGGAUCACGUACGAAAUGGUACAACCAUCAACAAUAAGUUUCACAAAGUUCUACUUAGUUAUACAAUCAUAAAGUUGAAGCUUUUCUUACUUUCACAAACUUUGUCAAUGAAUACAGUUGAAGUUCAACUUAGUUUUACAAAGUUCUCUAAACAUUUCUUUGUUUCUCAGUAUUACGCUUACUCCAAAUUUCACUUCGUUUUACACAGUUAUACAGUUGAAUUGGGUUAUGAUUCACCAAGAUUUAAAAGUUCUACAUAUUCCUUAGUAGUUACUUACCUCUGCAUGCGACUCAGUUUGAUGUUGUCGAGCCGCUUGGGUCUCCCCCGUCUCUUCAGCUUGUUCGUCAUUUCUUCGGGACUCCAAUUCAACUCCUUCUCCGGGUUCCUUUUGUUCUUCUCCGGGUUCCUUGUCUUCUUCUCCGGGUUCCUUCUCUUCUUCUCUGGAUUCCUUUUCUUCCUCUUUAUCACUAGAAUUUUCUUCGUUUUCAUCUGUAACGGAUUCUCCAUCUGGGGGAAGUUCCUCGGUUUCCGGUUCGACAGAUUUUUCGAUGGUGCUUCGGUUUACGACCUCAUCCCCAGUUACUUCUCCGGUUUCACAUGUGACCCUAGCGGUUUCAUCCACUACAGUACUAGCCCAGUCUUCUUUCGUCUUCGGGUCGACUCGAUUCAACAUUAUUAGGGUUAUGAGAAUUUCAAGAAGCAAACGGUCGAGAGAAAGAAUGAGUGAGAGACAAUGAAACUUUUCCCGUAUUACCGGGGAAACGUAUUCGGGAAUUCUAACUUUUUCUAUAAUUAGAGAUCCGAUUUUUGUGGGUCUUUGUUGGGUUUGGGUGGAUAGUCUUAGGUAGGAUUGUAAUUAUCUAACUUUCUCUUUGUUUCAUUGUUUUUUACUAAAUUUUAUUAUUUAAAUAAAAAAAAAUUUACACCUAGAGACACUUUUCCAUUUUCUAAUUACACUAAAGGUCACAUUGGACUUAUCACACACAUUUUGGAUGUUAUUUUACUGUCAUACCAUUUGUCUACACUCCACUUGUCAAGACUAAAAGCAAACUAAGAAAAAACUUGGUCAGCUAAAGAUUCCUCUGUUCCAUUUUAAUAAAGACAAUAACCAAUCCAACCCAAACCACUCUUCCCCUUUCAUCUUCGAUGUAAUAAAAUCAAGAACCCUAGUUUCUCCGAAACUCCACUGCUCUCUCAUUUUUCUCAAUCGAUGGGAGAAAAGCAUCCCUAAUUAAGACCUCAUUCCAAUUUCAAGCACCGACCAUUAUCUCCAAUCUGAUUCUGGUGGAAGAACCUCAAAGUAACAUGAUUCAGGUACUGGUCAAGAACCUCUCUCUUCACUAUAUGUUGGAUGGAGAGAUCAUCUUCAUCUUCGUUACCCUCCCGUCAAUGAUGUCUUGCGACAAGUUGAGAGGAGGUUACGUCAUCUUCAUCUUCGUCACCCUCCCUAAGCGAGAGUUUCAGUGGCGCCUCUCCUGCCGGACCUCCACCGAUGACGGCGACGCAGAGGUUACAGUUAACAAGCUUGGGACCGGCUCUGGAUGUGGUUACUUUGAGAGAUCUUCAUAAUUGGAGUCAAGAGUCUCCGACGUGGAGGUCAGUAUCUCCGUAAUCAUGUUUAAAAAGUUCUUACCUUUCAAUAAUCAUCGAUUCAAAAAAGUUACUUUUACAAUUAUUGAGUAAAAAUUUCCUCUCAAGCUUUUAAAGUUGAAGCUUUCUUUUAUGUUUAGAUUUCAAAUAUUACUGGAUUCUUAAGCUUUCUAAAAUUCACAAUUUCAAGUUUCUUUUAUGAGUAGAUUAUAAAUAAUACUCCAUUUCCAAAGUUUAUUCUUAAGCUAAAGUCAGGGAGAAACUUGAAAAGAAGAUAAAGACAACAACAAGAACAAAAGCAAUAAAGACAAGAACCUCAAAAUAAUACAAAGGAGAAGAAACCCAAAGCGGUGUUGGUAAAACUACAACGAGUACAAAGCAUGCUUAUUAUCAUCAGAAGAAAGACUACAAACCAGCCCUAGUAUGUGUGGAUACUCUCAGGACUGGUGUGAUCCAUCAACUGAAACAGAUUGCUACGAAGACGGUGUGUGGAUAGCUAGCGCGUGGAUGGGUUGUGUGUGGACGGUUGAUGUGGGGAUGGGUGAUAUGUGGAUGGGGCGUCGUGGUAUUGCUCCGUGUGGACAGGAUCUCCGAGGACUAGUGGGGUGACUUCUGGUGAUGUCAUGUUUGGUGAAGUGGGUGCAGGUGAGCCGUCCACAACCAAUUGUCCGAUUAAUAACAUUGCAGUUGAUGUUACAGCAAUGGAAGCUAUGUCAUAGUUAUAAAUCUGUAUACAAAGACCUCUUUUGUUGUACUAUAUGUAACAUUUUUUGUUUCCUCUUUUGACUUUAAAGUAUAGAUUGUUAUUUUGUAGUUGCAUAUCAUACAUAGCCCAAAUGUUGGUCUAAUCUAUUAUGUAAUCUAUUUUUUUCACCCA